rnacentral:rRNA from 1 species
UACGUAGGGUGCAAGCGUUGUCCGGAAUUAUUGGGCGUAAAGAGCUCGUAGGCGGUUUGUUGCGUCGGCUGUGAAAACCUGAGGCCUCAACCUCAGGCCUGCAGUCGAUACGAGCAGACUAGAGUGUUGCAGGGGAGACUGGAAUUCCUGGUGUAGCGGUGAAAUGCGCAGAUAUCAGGAGGAACACCGGUGGCGAAGGCGGGUCUCUGGGCAACACUGACGUGGAGGAGCGAAAGCGUGGGGAGCGAACAGG